CAACAGGGAUUGCCCUAGUAACGGCGAGUGAAGCGGCAACAGCUCAAAUUUGAAAUCUGGCUUCGGCCCGAGUUGUAAUUUGCAGAGGAAGCUUUAGGCGCGGCACCAUCUGAGUCCCCUGGAACGGGGCGCCAUAGAGGGUGAGAGCCCCGUAUAGAUGGACGCUAAGCCUGUGUAAAGCUCCUUCGACGAGUCGAGUAGUUUGGGAAUGCUGCUCAAAAUGGGAGGUAAAUUUCUUCUAAAGCUAAAUACCGGCCAGAGACCGAUAGCGCACAAGUAGAGUGAUCGAAAGAUGAAAAGCACUUUGAAAAGAGGGUUAAAUAGCACGUGAAAUUGUUGAAAGGGAAGCGCUUGUGACCAGACUUGCGCCGGGCUGAUCAUCCGGUGUUCUCACCGGUGCACUCUGCCCGGCUCAGGCCAGCAUCGGUUCUCGCGGGGGGAUAAAGGCCCUGGGAACGUAGCUCCUCCGGGAGUGUUAUAGCCCAGGGUGUAAUGCCCUCGCGGGGACCGAGGUUCGCGCAUCUGCAAGGAUGCUGGCGUAAUGGUCAUCAGCGACCCGUCUUGAAACACGGACCAAGGAGUCAAGGUUUUGCGCGAGUGUUUGGGUGUAAAACCCGCACGCGUAAUGAAAGUGAACGUAGGUGAGAGCUUCGGCGCAUCAUCGACCGAUCCUGAUGUUUUCGGAUGGAUUUGAGUAGGAGCGUUAAGCCUUGGACCCGAAAGAUGGUGAACUAUGCUUGGAUAGGGUGAAGCCAGAGGAAACUCUGGUGGAGGCUCGCAGCGGUUCUGACGUGCAAAUCGAUCGUCAAAUCUGAGCAUGGGGGCGAAAGAC
rnacentral:rRNA from 2 species